GGAUCCAGACUUUGAUCCUGGCUCAGGACGAACGCUGGCGGCGUGCCUAAUACAUGCAAGUCGAACGAAGCUUUCUUUCACCGAAUGCUUGCAUUCACCGAAAGAAGCUUAGUGGCGAACGGGUGAGUAACACGUAGGCAACCUGCCCAAAAGAGGGGGAUAACACUUGGAAACAGGUGCUAAUACCGCAUAACCAUGAACACCGCAUGAUGUUCAUGUAAAAGACGGCUUUUGCUGUCGCUUUUGGAUGGGCCUGCGGCGUAUUAACUUGUUGGUGGGGUAACGGCCUACCAAGGUGAUGAUACGUAGCCGAACUGAGAGGUUGAUCGGCCACAUUGGGACUGAGACACGGCCCAAACUCCUACGGGAGGCAGCAGUAGGGAAUCUUCCACAAUGGACGAAAGUCUGAUGGAGCAACGCCGCGUGAAUGAAGAAGGCCUUCGGGUCGUAAAAUUCUGUUGUCAGAGAAGAACGUGCGUGAGAGUAACUGUUCACGUAUUGACGGUAUCUGACCAGAAAGCCACGGCUAACUACGUGCCAGCAGCCGCGGUAAUACGUAGGUGGCGAGCGUUGUCCGGAUUUAUUGGGCGUAAAGGGAACGCAGGCGGUCUUUUAAGUCUGAUGUGAAAGCCUUCGGCUUAACCGAAGUAGUGCAUUGGAAACUGGAAGACUUGAGUGCAGAAGAGGAGAGUGGAACUCCAUGUGUAGCGGUGAAAUGCGUAGAUAUAUGGAAGAACACCAGUGGCGAAAGCGGCUCUCUGGUCUGUAACUGACGCUGAGGUUCGAAAGCGUGGGUAGCAAACAGGAUUAGAUACCCUGGUAGUCCACCGCCGUAAACGAUGAGUGCUAAGUGUUGGAGGGUUUCCGCCCUUCAGUGCUGCAGCUAACGCAUUAAGCACUCCGCCUGGGGAGUACGGUCGCAAGACUGAAACUCAAAUGAAUUGACGG
rnacentral:rRNA from 1 species